rnacentral:rRNA from 1 species
AUUGAACGCUGGCGGAAUGCUUUACACAUGCAAGUCGAACGGUAGAGGGGCAACCCUUGAGAGUGGCGAACGGGUGAGUAAUGUAUCGGAACAUGCCCAGUCGUGGGGGAUAACGUAGCGAAAGUUACGCUAACACCGCAUACGAUCUAUGGAUGAAAGCGGGGGAUCGCAAGACCUCGCGCGAUUGGAGUGGCCGAUAUCAGAUUAGGUAGUUGGGGGGGGAAAGGCCUACCAAGCCGACGAUCUGUAGCUGGUCUGAGAGGACGACCAGCCACACUGGGACUGAGACACGGCCCAGACUCCUACGGGAGGCAGCAGUGGGGAAUUUUGGACAAUGGGCGAAAGCCUGAUCCAGCCAUUCCGCGUGCAGGAAGAAGGCCUUCGGGUUGUAAACUGCUUUUGUACGGAACGAAACGCGCUGUGCUAAUACCACGGCGUAAUGACGGUAUCGUAAGAAUAAGCACCGGCUAACUACGUGCCAGCCGCCGCGGUAA